UCCCCUGUAGCUCAGCUGGUAGAGCAUGGCGCUGGCAAUGCCAGGGUUGUGGGUUCGAUUCCCACUGGGGACCAGUAUGAA